rnacentral:lncRNA from 1 species
UCCUAACUGCUCUCCGCAGAAGAAAAUUCAUCUUUAAAUAGUACAAACUGCAUUCUAGGAUAGAUAUCAACCUCCUCCCCGCCCCCAUCCAACAGACACUCACAUAGGGAGAAAUCACUUCGCUAUUUCUGCUAAAGCCACUGGUUUCCUGCAGAUAGUCCUUUAUCUAUCCUAGCCACACUGUAAUUCUCUAAUAAGUGGUGAAAAUUGCAUGGUUUCUGCAGAAAAGAAAAUGAAAGAUCUUGGAAAUUUGUUAAUCACUGUAAUGAACAGAAAAACAGGAAAUUAUGUUUCUGAAGUAAUGUGCCAACGUUGGGGUUUUGCUACAGAAGAAAAAGUAGGGUUUGUAGAUAAAUAUGUCAAACGUAUGUGCAUGUAUACUGAUGUCAUGCAUUUGGUGUGUGGCCUGUUUCACACAUAAACACUUUGUGCAUAUGUAUGUGUAUAUGUACAUAUAUGUGAACGUUUAAUUGCUUUCAUAGCUAAGUUGGGUGACCCACUGCUGUAAAAAUCCUUUUAUUUUUUUUAAUAUUCUCUGAGAGAAGAAUAUGACAGUGAGUGGUCCAAUAGCAGGGUCUCAAGUCAAAACUAGGGAUCCAUUAGAGCAUAUUUCUAAUGAUAGCUUGUCUGUCAAAAAAGGCAGACAGAACAAUAUCAAAGGCAUAUAUGACCUCAGAAGGGGAACUCAUUGUGUGAAAAGAAUGACAGACAAGAGUGACACAGAGGCAUGUCUGAGAUGGGAAAAGGAGCAGAGGACACCCCUCCAGGACAUUGGGGAGGCGGUGUUUUUAGCAAUCCUGCCAGCAAAAGGUCUCCAUUGUCUCCCAAAGAAGUCAACAAAAAACAAGCACAAGAUUUUGUUAUUUGCACCUUUUAGUCAAUUUUAUUACUAAAAUAUGUGGUCAAGUAUGACAUAUUGCUUAUAAAAGUUUGCCUUUUCUCUUCUCACACAUUUAUCAAAAAUGUCUUUGAUACAUGGACAUGUGGUUCUAUAGUGUUAAAUGUUCUAAUCACCCCUUUUUUCAAGCAGCAGCCUGGCACCAUAGAUAGGUUGCUAUCCUUUAAGUUAUCAGAUAAACAUCUAUAUGAAUCCCACCACUGAUAACUGGUUGCUCUGCAACCAUACAAAAUCAUCUUAUUCUCUUUUAAGUCUCAGUUUCUUAAUCUUUAAAAUGGAGAUAAUAAC